CUGAAAGAGAUUUCUGAAGUGCUGCAGGUCAACUUCUGGGAAACAGCUGAGCUUUAAGUAUUGCAAAACACACAGCCUAGCAACACAGGUACGGUAAGUACAAACACCAUUGCACAUUGCACACAUACAAAAGAAUAGUUAGAGAACUACUGUUCCUUCUUUCUCUUUUUACAGAGGAUAAUUUAAGUUUUGCUUUCUGGAUACUUCCUAGGAACCCAGAACCCCAAUUCCCUCUUUCUGGGGAGAUGUUGAGUUUGCUUUCAGAUGUACUAAACUGUUAAUCCUCAUGGAAAUGCUCAUGGACGACUUCACAGCUUUUCUCAAGAUUCAGAGACUUCAGCCUUUGAAAUUCACUUAUAGAAAACCUUCAAAAGGUGAACAUGAAAAAUCCAACUCUCUGGAUCAAGGCCAGUCUUUUCCCAGGGUUCCCAGACAAGAGCCCCUGUCAGACACGGAGAACUUUACUCACUCGUUGUCAUUAGACCCAUUCUUGGCAAAAGCAACAAGAGAUACGUCUACUGAUGUGGUCAAAAGCACAGUGAAGGACUUUGUCGCUGACUACCUCAACAGGGCUGCUAUUUUCAAUAGCAUGGAUGAAAUAGUGACUGAAGUGGCACAUGCAGCUUUGCCAAAACUAAUCCAAGAGGCACAGCAAGAAUUGGACCAGGAGGAACUGCUGGAUGGGAUCAUCUUGUGUGUUGUUGAGGAGGAAGCCAAGGCCUUAGUUGAGACUGUCCUUGAUGAAUAUCACGCUGAAAUGUUUAAACUGCAGAAGGGAGAGGUUGCUGUGUUUGCUGCUAAACAACUUAUUGAUAUAUUUCUCCUGGAGCGUGUGAUAGGGAAGAUGAGUUUGCAGGGCCCAAGGUUUUCUGGGAAGGAGCACUCAAGCGCGAUUUUAGAUAAUUUUAUGUUCGAUAUUCUCCUUAAGCAGUUAUUUAGCAUUCAGCAGCAGCAGCGAGUUACCUCUGAAAACAUCCCCCUGGGAGAUUUCCAUCUGAAAGCUUUUACCGAGGUGGUAAGUAGGCUCAUAUUUUAAAAUGUUGAUUGUUUUGGCUGCCUUUUAUCUUUUCUGUACUGCAGUGUCCGGAGGAGCUUCACCCACCCUGCCUCUCCUCCACCUCUACCAGAGCAGGCUCAGAGCUAAUUAAGGGGAAUGGGUCGGAUGUAACACACACACACACACAGAGAGAGAAAGAAAGAUUAGUUGAGAACUACUUCAUCACGUGCUGCUGGAUUCCCCCUCCUUUUGCUAAUCAUAGAGAUUAUUGCUUCUCCUAAUACCAUAUCUCUUUCCCUAUUAAAUAUUCUGUUUAACCUUCACAGUGCUGAAGUUAAGUCAAAUACUCCAGUGCAGUAGUUGUCCUAAGUGCCUCAACGGAGCAUUUGCCCUAGGUACAUAGUGGUAGUGGGCUCCUUACACUCACAGAACAGCAGCUUUGCAUUCACAGUAUCAUAUGUAUCUGAGGUGGAGGAUAAAUGGAGGUAUUUGCCUUCCACACACAUAGGCUGGUACCGAAUGCUGCUGUAUGUAUCGUAAGUAAAACUAUAAUUAAAAAAGGCUUCCUCAAGGCAAGUGUGGAAGUCCCAUUUAAGUAUGUGAAAUUUACUUCCAAAUGAAUAUGUAGCUCUUUCUCAAUACUUCCUACCUACCUUUUACUGGGGGAUGGAACUGAUGAACAAAGAGGCCAAGUUCUGAGGUGGUAUAAUAGCCUGCAGAAUGGGGUGUUGCAUUGUUGAUUGCGCCCUGUAAGUAGAAAACUAGCCCAACAGGGAACAGUCUGAUCUAGGAUCUUCCUUCCGUACACUACCUUUUCAUUAAAAGUGAGCUUUUACACGGGAGGAUGCAAAAGUGGCAUUCCAUACCAGUAGUUUGAAAUGGUACACUACCUCUUCAUUCUUUUUCAUGUGUAAGCCAGGACAAAACUGGCUUACUCCCUAUUGGCAGCUUGCCUCUCUGCAGCUAGAUAAGGCCAAAGGCCCAUCUAAUCCAGCAUCUUGUUCUCACGGUGGUCAGCUAGAUGCUUGUGGGCAGCACCAGAUUUAAGGUGGUACAGAAGGUUGCCAUGCACAGGGCACUAGGCUGAGGGAGUGCAAAAUUGAGAAGAUCCAUAAUUGAGAAGAUCCUUUUGGGGUGCAAUUUUUUUUUGCUUUGCACAGGGCACCAUAUUAUGAAAGAUUACCAAAGUCUGCCCCUGCUGUGGGAAACUUGCAAGCGGGAUUUGAGAGCAACAGAACUCUCCCAACCUCUGUCCCCAGCACCUGUUUUACAGAGACAUACAGUACUGCCUUCAACGGUGGAGGCAGAUCAUAGCCAUAUCCUCCAAGAAUUUGUCUAAUCCUCUUUAAAAGCUAUCCAAGUUGGUGGCCAUCACUACAGCUUGUGGUAGCAAAUUCCAGUUUAACUAUGCACCGUGUGAAGAAGUAUUUUCUUUUGCCUGUCCUGAACUAUCCUAUCAGCCUUAGUGCACUUAAGCUAAAAUGGGCUCCCCCUCUGCACUGUUAACCUAAUUCUUUGUGUCCAGUUGCCACUGAAUGCAUAGACAAGUGUGCUCCUUCAGUUGUUCCGACAACCUUUUAAAUAUAAUCUGUUUGCAACAUUCUGACAGUCUGGUUGCAGAUUGUAACAGUCUUGUAGUGCAGAAAACUAGAAUUAAGCACUCGUCAGAUAAUUCCUAGGAGUUAAAGCACACAUUCUCAGGGUCUCCACCCCUCAAUUAUUAUUCUUUGUUUCCUUGCUGUAUGAAACAUAACUUCCAUUAUCCUCAGUAGAUUCUUGCUUCUCUUUAGCCACACAUCAAACAUAGUGUUACCAGAAGGUGAAUGGUGCAAUUAUUCUGGACCAAAGGCUGUUAUAUGAUUUAUUUUUAAGCCUUAUGAAAAUCGAAAAGUACAAUUCUUAAGUCCUGAAUAUCAAAAUCCUAUAGCCACAGGAAGAAUGCCUGUCCUGAUAUGUCCUUGAAUGACCUUUCAAAUGCCCAUUGCCUCUGGAGGCACUUUGCCCUCCUAAUUUGAAGGAAGUGGUGUUUUUCAAGAAGUCAUUGUUGUUUAUCUUUGUACACUCUGCAGAUCAGAUGGACUACUGACUCUCAAGGGUUGUAUAUCAUUAUUAGAGGGGAAAACAUUGUGAUGUGAAAUCAUUGCAAACCAGCAAUUUGUAAACCAAAUUUUCCAGCAGAUGGCAGCAGAGCUUUAGAUGUUAUCUUGACAGAGCUGAAUAAAGUGGUGGAGGAGGACAUGGA